AUGCUCCUGUUGCUCAUACCAGUGCUGGGGAUGAUUUUGGCCCUGAGAGAUGUCAGAGCCCAGUCUGUGAGCCAGCAUAACCACCAUGUAAUUCUCUCUGAAGCGGCCUCACUGGAGUUGGGAUGCAACUAUUCCUAUGGUGGAACUGUUAAUCUCUUCUGGUAUGUCCAGUACCCUGGUCAAGACCUUCAGCUUCUCCUCAAGUACUUUUCAGGGGACCCACUGGUUAAAGGCAUCAAGGGCUUUGAGGCUGAAUUUAUGAAGAGUAAAUUCUCCUUUAAUCUGAAGAAACCCUCUGUGCAGUGGAGUGACACGGCUGAGUACUUCUGUGCCGUGAAUGCCACAGUGUCUGGGACUGCAAAGGGAGCUGAACACAAACUUCGCCCGCCUUCUUGGGUUCUCCAAACUACUGCAGCCCUCGGCGCCUUCUGGCGGCUGCUAUUCUUCUCCCUCUGCGACAUCCAUUUCCUCCCAAAGGCACGGUGUCCUCCGCAGCUCGGUGAGGGCUUCGCCAAGGCUCAGUAG